UUAAUUCAUUCGUUUAAAGAAUUGGUCAGACAGGUUCAAAAACAGUUUUGGUUGGUGCCGUCCGCGGGAUUACCCAGCCCAGGAACAGGCAGGAACCGCGGAAGCGAAGGUGUGUUUUGGUUCACAAGAGGUUGGCACUCCGGCCGGGCUCUCGCCCAGCGCAAAGCUAUGUCAAGGACAUUUGUUAAUGAUCCUUCCGCAGGUUCACCUACGGAAA
rnacentral:misc_RNA from 1 species